GACGAACGCUGGCGGCGUGCUUAACACAUGCGAGUCGAACGGAAAGGCCCUGCUUUUGUGGGGUGCUCGAGUGGCGAACGGGUGAGUAACACGUGAGUAACCUGCCCUUGACUUUGGGAUAACUUCAGGAAACUGGGGCUAAUACCGGAUAGGAGCUCCUGCUGCAUGGUGGGGGUUGGAAAGUUUCGGCGGUUGGGGAUGGACUCGCGGCUUAUCAGCUUGUUGGUGGGGUAGUGGCUUACCAAGGCUUUGACGGGUAGCCGGCCUGAGAGGGUGGCCGGCGACAUUGGGACUGAGAUACGGACCAGACUCCUACGGGAGGCAGCAGUGGGGAAUAUUGCACAAUGGGCGGAAGCGUGAUGCAGCAACGCCGCGUGCGGGAUGACGGCCUUCGGGUUGUAAACCGCUUUCGCCUGUGACGAAGCGUGAGUGACGGUAAUGGGUAAAGAAGCACCGGCUAACUACGUG
rnacentral:rRNA from 1 species